rnacentral:rRNA from 1 species
AGCAGCCGCGGUAAUUCCAGCUCCAAUAGCGUAUAUUAAAGUUGUUGCAGUUAAAAAGCUCGUAGUUGAAUUUCGGGAUCAAUUUAUUGGUCGUGCUAUUGUACGUACUGGUAUUAUUGAUUCCUACCUUCUGACGAACCAUGAUGUCAUUAAUUUGGUGUCAUGGGGAAUCAGGACUGUUACUUUGAAAAAUUAGAGUGUUUAAAGCAGGCUCACGCUUGAAUACAUUAGCAUGGAAUAACGAAAUAGGACGUUUGAUUCUAUUUUGUUGGUUUCUAGGAUCGACGUAAUGAUUAAUAGGGAUAGUUGGGGGCAUUUAGUAUUC